UCCCAAAUAUUAUCAUGUCGACACCCCAUCUUAUCCAUCAAUCUUUUGAUACUUAAUUCAAACUUCUUGAUGCCUAACUCAACUUUUCUCCCAAUAUUGUUCACCUUUUUUUUUAAUUUUCGCAAAUCUUCCUUAACUGAUUCCAAUGUCGUCGCUCCCCCCGAACUAGAUGAAGUAUCAUAACUCCCUCGGGAUGGAGGU
rnacentral:lncRNA from 1 species